CCCUUAGAUGUCCGGGGCUGCACGCGCGCUACACUGAAGGAAUCAGCGUGCUAAAACCAUUGUCGAAAGGCAUUGGUAAACCCAUUAAAAUCCUACGUGAUUGGGAUCGGGAAUUGCAAUUAUUUCCCUUGAACGAGGAAUUCCCAGUAAGUGUGGGUCAUAAGCUCGCGUUGAUUACGUCCCUGCCCUUUGUACACACCGCCUGUCGCUGCCCGGGACUGAGCCGUUUCGAGAAAAGCGGGGACUGCUGCUGUCGGGGCUUUCGGGCCUUGGCUUCGGUGGAAACCGCUUUAAUCGCAGUGGCUUGAACCGGGCAAAAGUCGUAACA
rnacentral:rRNA from 1 species